GCAGUACUCGUGGAAACUGGUCCAUCCAACCGACAACUUCUCCAACAAAGACUGCCCCAAGGAGGCCGAGGAGUAUGAGAGGGCGACUCGGUAUAACUACGACACGGAUGAGAAGUUUGCGUUUGUGGAGGUCAUCGCGAUGAUCAAAGGUCUGCAGCUGCUGAUGUCGCGCAUGGAGUCCGUGUUUAACGAGGCCAUCCGCAGAAACAUCUACGCAGACCUGCAGGACUUUGUGCAGAUCGUGCUGCGCGAGCCGCUCAGACAGACCGUCAAGAAGAAGAAAACUCUCAUCAAGAGUAUUCUGACAUCCAUCCGUGACACGUGUGUUUUUCCCCAGUAUUCUGACAUCCAUCCGUGACACGUGUGUUUUUCCCCAGUAUUCUGACGUCCAUCCGUGACACGUGUGUUUUUCCCCAGUAUUCUGACGUCCAUCCGUGACACGUGUGUUUUCCCCCAGUAUUCUGACAUCCAUCCGUGACACGUGUGUUUUUCCCCAGUAUUCUGACAUCCAUCCGUGACACGUGUGUUUUUCCCCAGUAUUC